CGGGAGAUGGCAGAGCGGUUGAAUGCACUGGUCUUGAAAACCAGCGAGGGUAAUACCUCCGGGAGUUCGAAUCUCCCUCUCCCGGCCA
rnacentral:tRNA from 1 species